AAACCCAAAGGCAAAGCAGAGAGCCCAAAAGGCACAGAAAAGGACAAAAUGCCUCUUUGGAAAAUGCAGCCUGCAGCUCCACUGCCUGCGCUCGGGGAACCGCCGCAACCGCGGUGCCUGCUGCCACCAGUGCGUGGCCCGGCUGAAAUUCAGUGACCCCCAAGGCUCUGAGGGGCACGGGACAGCCUGUGAAAUGUUUAAUCUGCACGCUGAGGAAAUAACGUCACCUCUGAACCUCGCAGGUGGCCAGCUCAGAGCUCCGGAACGCAGCGCUCCGUCCCCAGUAGCACCGAUUCCUCGGUGCAAGGGUCUGUAAUUAGAGGUUUGAGGAGUCAGCACCAAACAAAACCUCAACAACCUCCUCCAGGACGUUGCUACUCCACUUCUGGGACCCUUCUCCUUCCACUCCCAGCCUGACCCAUCUCUGAGCACACAGAAGCCUGAGCAGGGUGAGAGCCUUGCCAAGGGAAGAAACUCUCACACUGCUCUCCUCUGAGAAAGUGGCACAAAGGAAAAAAAAAAAAAAGACCAGAAGGGAUGGCUCACAUCCCCGGGUCAUGGAAAAGAGCUGGAAAAGGCUCUGCCCCAGGAGGACAGAGUGCCAGCGCUUCUUUUUUUAACUUAGUCAGCAGCUGCAGGAUUUGAUCUGUGUUAAAAGCCUCUUUUACCCUCGCUGCUGCAAAGGAAGCCACCUCCCGCCUCUCCCCUCCCGAAUAAAAGGCCACCGAAGCCCGCAAGCAGACAUCCUGUAAUGUCACCUCUGCCAGAGGUGGCGGCUCGACCCCUCUCAGCAAACACCAGCCCUACUUCCACUCAGGCUUCGACAGAAACCCGCUGCUCCAGGUCCCAUCACGAGCCACACAACCAGCCUCUGCUUACGUGCGUCUGGAGCAGGAAAGGAAGUGAGGGGCAGGAGGGGCAGGCUGGAUUCUGGGGCUGUAGGCACCU